GGCCUCUGAAGCUCUUCCGUUAGAACAGGGUUUGCAUGAAUCUUGAGAAGCUAAGGGUGGCUACUGGGAUUGGUUUGCCCGCCACUGUCCACUCUUCCGUCUGCCUGGGGAGAGUACGGGAGAGCACAAGCACACUGAGCUACAUUGCCACUGGGUCUUGCAACUAAGUGUUGGACGUGGGCUACAGCCCUGUGCUGCCAGGGUCUGGAACACAAGGAGGCGGGCUAUUUUCUUACUGUUUGGCUGUUCAGCUACAGGCCCCUUCACGUCCCUCUGCUCCCCCGUUGUUGGCUUCCAGGGCAGCAUCCCGGACCCCUGAGCAUCUGUGGUGGACGCAGUGGAGUUCCGGAGGACCUUGGGCUGAGGCUGCACUGCUGUGUCCUGCCUGCCGUGUUCUGGGACCUCCCCAGCACCCAGCCACAAUCAGCCCUCCAGCACCUGGGCUUCUGUCUGACUAUCAAGAAUCUGACGGGAUGGCAGCUGGGACCACGGACACGCAGCUCAGGUCCUCCUUUCCUGAUGCCUUGUUGGUGAAGAUGGUCCAGGCUGUGCGAGGGGGUCUGCUCUCCUCACGGCUUCCUGUGCUGCCGGUUCACUCUCCACCCAUCCACCUUCCACAUGCCGAGCUUUUGUAGCCAAUUCUGAGGAUACGAAGGUGAGUAAGAAAACAUUUGUCCUUGAAGAAUAUGACAAUCAAAUCAAAGGACGUGUGCACAGAGCGGUGACAUGAGAGAUGAUAUAACGCCAUGUGGGGUGAGAGAGUGAGAAAUUUAUGUCUGUGGAUGUGACAAAGUCUCCAUGGACGUGCAGGCAUUUCAGCUACACCGUGAAGAAGGAGAAGAGUGUGAGCACUGGAGGUGAUAUUAGGAGUGGAAAAGGGCGUCUGGGUGGAGAUGUCCACCAGGAAGGAAGAGGCUCUCAGCCGUGCUGGACAUCCAGAGCACAACAGAGCUGUCAAGAUGUGCACCUGAGGACGAUCACCACAGAAACAGGACUCUGAGGACAGACACCAGCAGAUACGGGUCCACCUGAGGACAGUUACCACCGACAUGGACCCAUGAGGAUGGUCACCAGCAGACAGGGUCCCCUGAGGGCGGUCACUAGCAGACUGGGUCCACCUGAGGAUGGUCACCAGCAGACAUAAUUUCCCUGAGGAUGGUCACUAGCAGACAUGGGUCCUAGAGCUUCUGUGGGCCAGUGUCGUCCAUUCCAGACUCAUCUGCAGUUUACGUGCGCAUCCUUGUGGUCCAGGAGAACUUCUUGACCCCUCCCAUGGGCUCCCAUGGCAGCUGGCUUAUCUUCCUGCCCAGGUUGUUCAGCUUUAUCGUUCCUUGCUGAAGGUGUGCCUUUCCCAGACACACGACCAGGGCUUGGACAGUGACCUGUGGCAGGAGAUACCGUGUGGCACUUCCAGUAGUCUUCAGCAGAAAGCCCUGGACUUUUAUCCUCUGCCCUCCAUGGCACCACCUUGAACAUGGAGAGAGACUAUGCCCGGAGCUCUGGCAGCCGUCUUGCGCCCCAGGGGGAAGGCAAGUUCUAGAUGGCAAGGUGUGGACUUUGGCAAGGGGUCUGGCUUGCUGAUGGCUUUGGGGAGCUCUUUCGUUUUCUU
rnacentral:lncRNA from 1 species